CCAACUGAUGCUGAGGUAGAAAUUGAAUGUCGGCGCCCCCUAGUCUUCCUCUGCGGACUCUUGCGAGGAUGUCUCUUCAGUCUCCUGCAACACAUGGAAGGCAGGUUGUCUGUCAUGUAAACAGCCUCGAAAACCACCCUUGAAGUUUCUGUGAAAACAUUCAACAUCUUGGAAGGGGCGAGCGCCACAGGACAACGGGGUUUCCCAGGAUUCCCUCGCCCCUGCGCCACACGUGGAAGAUCCCCACAGGAUGAAGAUGCUGGCCUUCUCUACGGAUGCUGUACAGGGUAUCUGACAUGCAGCCCUCUGUGAAAGAGUCAUUUGACAGCCCCACCACCACCACCACCACCACAAAGGAGUCAAGACCCACUAAGCCAGAGGAUGAAAACAAACAAGCAAGCAAGCAACACUAACACACUCUUCCUUCAUGCUGAGCAAAUUUCCCUGUCAGGCAUUACCUGCUUUACCUUACGGUGAGAUGGCUCUCCUGGCUUGUCUGGGCUAUCCCUGGAAACUGCUGAGUGCAUUCACUUGGUCACGGACUGAAG
ensembl:processed_transcript 1700006J14Rik RIKEN cDNA 1700006J14 gene